rnacentral:rRNA from 1 species
CCUACGGGUGGCAGCAGUGAGGAAUAUUGGUCAAUGGGCUUACGCCUGAACCAGCCAAGUCGCGUGAGGGAAGACUGCCCUAUGGGUUGUAAACCUCUUUUGUCAGGGAGCAACGCCGGCUACGUGUAGCCGGACUGAGAGUACCUGAAGAAAAAGCAUCGGCUAACUCCGUGCCAGCAGCCGCGGUAAUACGGAGGAUGCGAGCGUUAUCCGGAUUUGUUGGGUGUAAAGGGUGCGUAGGCGGAAUGCCAAGUCAGCGGUAAAAUCGCGGGGCUCAACCUCGCUCCGCCGUUGAAACUGGCGGUCUUGAGUGGGCGAGAAGUAUGCGGAAUGCGUGGUGUAGCGGUGAAAUGCAUAGAUAUCACGCAGAACUCCGAUUGCGAAGGCAGCAUACCGGCGCCCAACUGACGCUGAAGCACGAAAGCGUGGGUAUCGAACAGGAUUAGAUACCCCAGUAGUC